rnacentral:rRNA from 1 species
UACGUAGGGACCGAGCGUUGUUCGGAUUUACUGGGCGUAAAGGGCGCGUAGGCGGCGUGGUAAGUCACUUGUGAAAUCUCUGAGCUUAACUCAGAACGGCCAAGUGAUACUGCUGUGCUAGAGUGCAGAAGGGGCAAUCGGAAUUCUUGGUGUAGCGGUGAAAUGCGUAGAUAUCAAGAGGAACACCUGAGGUGAAGACGGGUUGCUGGGCUGACACUGACGCUGAGGCGCGAAAGCCAGGGGAGCAAACGGG